rnacentral:rRNA from 1 species
AUUGAACGCUGGCGGCAUGCCUUACACAUGCAAGUCGAACGGUAACGCGGGGCAACCUGGCGACGAGUGGCGAACGGGUGAGUAAUGCAUCGGAACGUGCCCAGUAGUGGGGGAUAGCCCGGCGAAAGCCGGAUUAAUACCGCAUACGGCCUACGGGUGAAAGCGGGGGACCGUAAGGCCUCGCGCUAUUGGAGCGGCCGAUGUCAGAUUAGGUUGUUGGUGGGGUAAAGGCCGACCAAGCCGUCGGUCUGUAGCUGGUCUGAGAGGACGACCAGCCACACGUGGACUGAGACACGGCCCAGACUCCUACGGGAGGCAGCAGUGGGGAAUUUUGGACAAUGGGGGCAACCCUGAUCCAGCCAUGCCGCGUGCGGGAAGAAGGCCUUCGGGUUGUAAACCGCUUUUGUCAGGGAAGAAACGCUCUGGGCUAAUACCCUGGGGUAAUGACGGUACCUGAAGAAUAAGCACCGACUAACUACGUGCCAGCCGCCGCAGUAA